UGCUUGUAGGGGCUAGCAGAUGUUUC
rnacentral:piRNA from 1 species